UUUAUUCUUUACUGGAGAAUUUUCCUGUAGAUCUUGAUUUUAGGUGUAAAUUCUUGCUAUUACAUAAUUUUCUAUCUUUUUAUUUAAUAAUUAUUACUUCAUUUAUCUUGGAUUGAAUUGGUCUUUUUUUUUUUUUUUUUUUUCCUUUUUUGUUCUCUUUCUUUUUUACACAAAAUAUUAUUUCUCAUAAAUGAAAUUUAUUUUAGAACAAUAACUGAUGUCACUGUUUAAAUACUUCUAGAGUUAGUUAAUGUUUGGAUUAGAAACUUGUGAAAAUGUUCUCAGAUUCCCAGUGGCUCUAUCUAUCAAGAACAGAAACAAGUAAGAAACCUCACAUUAGUCUUUAUUCAGCUCUGGUCCUGAGAAUCUUUCAAAGAUAUUGUCACAGCAAUUGGCUUCUGAUUGACCUACCACUUCAACCAAAUACAUCUCAACAAUUUCCCUGAAAAAGAAAAAGAAAGUGACAGAAGUACUUAUUUGACAAAAUUGCUUCAAUUUUUCAGUUCUUCAUCAGUUAACAGAGUCUGAGGAAGAGCUGGGAUCUGUGCCUUGGAUGAGCCUGUUCACCACAGAGAAGAUGUCCUGGUCCCUUUGCCCUAGCUUCUCUGAGGCCAGUGGAGGAGCCAUCAGCCCAUCAGAGGACCCUCUCCACAGCCCAGAAGAACUCAGGGACACAAAGGUAAUGCCAUUCUCCAUACCAAGCAAAGUAUCAGCACUAUUAUGAACUCAUGAUCUGAAAGCCUCCAUAACAUCUCAGAGAAUGAAACCAAUCACCUAACAUAACAGAAGUGUUUUAUUUUCAUCAAUAUUUUUAAACUAUCUGCACACAGAAGAGUUCCCACAUCUGUAUAGAAGUACUUAAAAAUGACAGUUUAUUUGUCUUAAACUCUUCUAUGCAACAGAGCUGUGCUAUUCACAUACAUGGAGUAGCAUGUUAUUCUUACAGAAGUGCUUAAUUAGACACAAAGGAGAAAUCUAAGUUGUGAAAUAUCUUUGAAAAUUUUCUUUUUGAUGCUUCUUUUUUCUGUCUUUUCUCUCCAAAUGUAAUUUAUGCCUAAUAGAUUUUUUUUUUCAUUUUCAUCCUCAUAAUUUUAAUCAAAAUAACAAUUUAUUUCUAUCAAAAUGUGUGAAAAAGUAAAUAUGUUUCUACUAAAGUGAAUGUUUCUAUUCUAUUUUAAUGCCUG
rnacentral:lncRNA from 1 species